rnacentral:rRNA from 1 species
GAUGAACGCUGGCGGCGUGCCUAAUACAUGCAAGUCGAGCGAACAGACGAGGAGCUUGCUCCUCUGACGUUAGCGGCGGACGGGUGAGUAACACGUGGAUAACCUACCUAUAAGACUGGGAUAACUUCGGGAAACCGGAGCUAAUACCGGAUAAUAUAUUGAAUCGCAUGGUUCAAUAGUGAAAGGCGGUUUUGCUGUCACUUAUAGAUGGAUCCGCGCCGCAUUAGCUAGUUGGUAAGGUAACGGCUUACCAAGGCAACGAUGCGUAGCCGACCUGAGAGGGUGAUCGGCCACACUGGAACUGAGACACGGUCCAGACUCCUACGGGAGGCAGCAGUAGGGAAUCUUCCGCAAUGGGCGAAAGCUUGACGGAGCAACGCCGCGUGAGUGAUGAAGGUCUUCGGAUCGUAAAACUCUGUUAUUAGGGAAGAACAAAUGUGUAAGUAACUAUGCACGUCUUGACGGUACCUAAUCAGAAAGCCACGGCUAACUACGUG